CGAAGUGAUCCUCAAAGAUCAAGAAGGUGAAGAUAGGUGGUCUUGGCCCGUGCAAUUAAGGCAAAAAAUAGAUGGUCGGGUGCAGUUAAGAUCUGGUUGGCAUAAGUUUGCAGUUGCGAAUCGCCUUAAUAAAGAUCAACUUUGCAUUUUCAGGCUCAUUCCUCUGGUAACAUACAUGAAGAUGGGAAGGUGGUCUUUGAUGUCACAGUGGUAGACUCUAAAGCUUCAGCUGGGAGAAAAUUUCCACCACUGGUUGAUAUGAGCAGCAAGGAUACCCAGAUUAAGGAGCCUAGCUAAUUAUAAACCUUCUUUUGUGACUUCUUUGAAGAAUUUUACCCUUGUGCAUUCUCUUUUGUAUGUUCCGAGAGAAUUUGCAAGGAACAAUGAUUUACAAGUAAAAAAGUGUUACUACAACAUAUCCCUGAAAGAUCAAAAGGCCAAGACAUUGGGGCUGAAACUAAUUAAGGUCAAGAAUAGCAGCGCGCGCGGCGAUGUCUACUUAAGAGGUGAUUGGCGUGAGAUUCUCCUUGGAGGAAGGGGAUACUAUCAACUUGCAGCUCACCUCAAAUGAUGCCA